rnacentral:pre_miRNA from 1 species
UGAUUGUCCAAACGCAAUUCUUGUGUCUGUCAGAGUCUCCUGCAAGAACUGAGUCUGGACAUCACA